rnacentral:rRNA from 1 species
UACGGAGGGAGCAAGCGUUACUCGGAAUUAUUGGGCGUAAAGAGCUCGUAGGCGGUCUGUCGCGUCGGUCGUGAAAACCUGCAGCUUAACUGUGGGCGUGCGGUCGAUACGGGCAUGACUGGAGUUCGGCAGGGGAGACUGGAAUUCCUGGUGUAGCGGUGAAAUGCGCAGAUAUCAGGAGGAACACCGGUGGCGAAGGCGGGUCUCUGGGCCGAUACUGACGCUGAGGAGCGAAAGCGUGGGGAGCGAACAGG